CCCCUAGAUGUCCUGGGCCGCACGCGCGCUACACUGAACGGAUCAGCGCGUUUUCCCUUCCCGAGAGGGACGGGUAACCUGCUGAACCCCGUUCGUGGUAGGGAUCGGGGCUUGCAAUUAUUCCCCGUGAACCAGGAAUGCCCAGUAAGUGCAAGUCAUAAGCUUGCGUUGAUUACGUCCCUGCCCUUUGUACACACCGCCCGUCGCUACUACCGAUUGAACGUUUUAGUGAGGUACUCGGACUGAGCCUCAGAAGAUUCACGUCUUUUGUGCUGCUCGGGAAGAUUCCCAAACUUGAGCGUUUAGAGGAAGUAAAAGUCGUAACA
rnacentral:rRNA from 1 species